CUGAGUCUCCCCUGGCCCAGAGCAGCUGUGGUUGUGAUAUCCUCCAGCCCCGAAGUGGGCCAAGAUGGCAGAGGGCAGCCUCGGGCCUCUGCUUAGGCUGCCAUGGUGCCCUGGCACUCCCACUCCCAGGGGAGCGUCUGCCAGGCUGGAGCACACCAUGGGGCAAGAGAGUCAAUGGCCCAACACCCUCUAGAGGCCAGAAGGGGUGAACCUGAUGGAAAACAUUCACAGCCCCCCAACAGCGGGUGGAGGGAAUAAAUAAUGCCUCAUUGGAAAGUGUAAGUCCUUGAGGUGUGUUCAUUCACUCUCUAUGAUGACCUUUUAGCUUGGGCUCUGCCAUCCUCCCUGUGUUACAGAUGGGCUAAGAAGAACAUUUCUCGUAAGGCCGUUGUGAGGAUCACAUGAGCUGCCCUCCCUACAUUCCUGACAUUCCUGGGAGGUGAAGCAGGCUGACAUAUUUCACGGUGUGUUCAGAUGAGGAAACUGAGACCCACAGAGGAGGUGUCAUGGUUAUUAAGGCUGUAAAUGUAAUUAUGAUGGUCCUAACCCCAUUGAUUGCUCCCUUAUUCUGUCUCAGGCACUGUGUUGAAUAAUUUAUGUGUAUUAUCUCAUAUGGACUUAAUAUCAACCCUAUAAGGUUAGUAUUCUUAUUCACAUUCACAUGGGAAGAAAUGAAGGCUUAAAGGUUAAGUAGCUUGCUCAAGGGCACACAGGGGUUAAGUGUGUGGGUGUACACAGAAUGGGGGUGGGGAAUAUUUAGGCCCAUCUUUGUCUGACUGCAAAGUCCAUGUGCUUAACCUCUCCACUGCUGUAUGGCACCCCAAAUACAAGAGCAUGCUUUUACCUUAUGCUUAUCUGUGUUAUUUGUAGAGACCCUGUUGCUUAUGAAAGCUCUAUCAUUUACAUUAUUUCAUUUGCGCUUUGUAUGUUCCCUUGAAAUAAGACAGAGAGGUAUAAUCACAACCAUUUUAUGGAUAAAACAUUGAGAUCUUGAGAUGUUGAAUGAUAGGCUUACGUUUUCCCAGCAACUUGGUUAUGGAAUUGGGGUUUAAAAACUUAGGUGGUAGGGUCUUUGUAAUCCUGCCUGGUAAGACCUGGCAGACAAAGAUGAAGAAUCAAAGAUAAGACCACUCAGAUGGAGCAGCCCAUGUGGACUUUGUCACCACCGUGGACAAAGCCCAGGGCUGAGGAGAGCUGAGGGUCCCAGGGGCCUGCCUGACAGCAGCUGUCAUCAAGGCCCCAACUACAGUGUAGAGGAGGAGAGAGGAGUUCCCACUUUCCCAGAGUUUGACAUACUUUAAACUUUGGAGUUAUCUUGACAAAGAGAGUGUUAAAUGAUCGUAAGUUUGGGCAGUAAUGAGUGCCAUAAAGAUAAGGAUGCUGUAAGCAGGAGGAAGCUGGGCAUUAUCUCCCAGACCUCCCUCACCACCCUGGCCCCUGCUCCUGCUCCCAGACUCCCUUCAGCUUGAGCCAAAGGCAAUAGAGUUGUUUAUCUUGGUUAUUUCUUUGUUGCAGGGGAAUUUCCCAGCAAGGAACCUUUUAUUUCCUUGUGAAUAUAAAGGUAUUUUGUUUCUACAGUUCUUUGGAAGAGUAAGGGGAAGGAGUGGGAACAGAUAUGGGUGUCAGAUGGCAACGUCGAGGCUCUCUUGAGUCCGGUUAAUUGCCCCAGACCUUUCUUACCAGGUCAAUGAUUAAUCUCUGGAGUGGGGCCUUAGCCAAAUACCAGUCAGCUCCAACGUGAAAGCAAUCAGGGGACGUUGGCUGGGGUGUCAUCACCUGCGUAAGCACUGCAAGCUGCCAUGGGAGAUGCUCCCAGGUGGGAGCAGCUUUCAGGAGGCCAGGAAGUCUCGGCAACAGUUGGGAUGGGCUGGCUGCAAAGACCUGAGAGAUCUACCAUUUGCUACUUGUGCUGGCACAGGGUGGGUGCUGGCAUAGGUGGGAGGACAAAAUGCUGCCUGCUUUUAAGAACCCACACCAGCAGCAGUUAUCCUUGCUUCUUGUUCCUGUCCUCACCUCUAGAUAAGCAACUGCCUAAUAUUUGUGGGAGACAGGAGCGGUCUUCCUACAAGCUGAGCAGCCCUCUUCUGGACUUGGCCUGGGUUGCAGAGAGUCAGAUGCCAGCUUCUCCAAGGUGAAGACCCUGACCUCUGUCCCAGACUUCUCAUUUUGUGACAUGUUUGGGUGACUGUGCAUGUUCGUGUGGAGAGGGGACAUGUGCGUGCACCCAUUACCCUCUGCAUGGUCUCAAGCCAGGGAUGAGAGCAUCAGGCAUGCACAGGCAGGUCAGGCAGAUGGCAACAUCGGCGGGAUGCACACAGUCCAGUCCUAGACGGGAUGAUUGGCAGGAGAGGAUACCCCUGCUCGGAACAGGAGCUCUUCUUUGCCCAAAGCUAAAACUUGAAGCACAAUUUCUCUAGUAACAGUCGGAAGGAUCCCAAACUUUCAGAAUCAUUAGAGACCCCUUCCUCUCAAAACCAGAGACUUUCUUCCAAACCUGGGGGAUUCAAAUCUCAGGGAGACCCACCCCACUGGGUGGCUGGGGCUGGAUUUAAAGGAUUUGCUUAAGGAAGGAAGAAAAAGAACAUAAUGUUGGGCACUCGCUAUGUGCCAAAUGCUUUGCUAGGUUCUUUUCUUGUAUGACUUCAUCCAUCAGCACAACAACCCAAGAAGUAGAUGUUGUUAUCCUCAUGACACAGGUCGGAAAUCUAAGGGUUGUAGGGAUUCUUGACCCCAAGACUCACAGCAGAAUCCGAAUUUGAGGUCACUACCCCCAUUAUCACACUUUAAAUGAGCAGAGGGGCCUUCUUUAUUGAGUUUUAUGUAUAUGACAUUAUAUCAUGCAUGAGGGCACGUUUUCUGGUCCUUAAACUAGCAGUUGUUUUUUCACUGCUGAGGCUAGGAUGUGCUAGAUCAUUUUCAGUUUACUAAGUUAGUAUCCCAACAUAUUUGUAAUAUAUGGCCCCACAAUUGUGGAUUGGGGCAGGAGUGUAAGCUGUGCUGAAGAAUAGUUUUUCUUUUUAUAAAAUGUAUUUAACAAGCUCCUAUUCAGUUAAAGUGACUGCACGUCUGCUCUCAUGGUGUGGAGUCCAAACCUUUGUCCAUCUAAUCUCAGGUUUCCCUCUUUUUCAGAGGAAGAAAGGUCCCCUGGACUUGAUAUGAGAGUAGAAGUCUGCUUGCUGGGCAUCGUUUGAAGAUAGAGAGUGAGCUACUUAGGUUGGACCCAUGUGGAUAAGAGAGGAGACAAGCACUAUGGGCUAGGCUAGAAGAACGUACACUGAGUCCUUUCCAGGUGCUUUACAUGUGUUAAUGUGUUUCAUUUUUACAGCCACCCUAGGAGAUAGGACAAAAUGGGCAACCCCAUUUCAUGAGUGAGAUAAUUGAGGUACAGAGAGGUGAGAUAUUUGCCCAAGUUUGCACAGUUGGUAAGUGACUUAGAUGGGAUUCUGGAUCAAGAGCAUAGGCCCUUAGCCACUCUGCUCUACCUCUGAGGGUCUUGCUGUUGAGAGGAAGCAGUGGGAGAGGAAGGAGCAGGAUAUCCAAUCUUAGAGAAGAGAAUUUGUUCAGUUCUUUCCUCUCUGCCUUUCACAGAAAAGGCAGUGCUUAUAAAGUGAUACCUGGGGCCAGGCGUGGUGGCUCACGCCUGUAAUCCCAGCACUUUGGGAGGCCGAGGUAGGUGGAUCACGAGGUCAG